rnacentral:lncRNA from 1 species
UCCUACAGCGGGCUAUCUACUCCAGAUAUCUUCUGUAAGCAAAUUUCUUUCGAACUUCUGUUACAGGUAGACUCCAGCCGAGCUACUCUGUAGCGAGUGGGCUCUGGACGAACUUCUACAGCGGGACACUACUCCGAGCUUCCACGACAACUGGUCCUCGCCCGAGCUCCUACAAUAAAUGGCCCCCUUUCGACCUCUCACA